UACGUAGGGUGCGAGCGUUGUCCGGAAUUACUGGGCGUAAAGAGCUCGUAGGUGGUUUGUCGCGUUGUUCGUGAAAACUCACAGCUUAACUGUGGGCGUGCGGGCGAUACGGGCAGACUGGAGUACUGCAGGGGAGACUGGAAUUCCUGGUGUAGCGGUGGAAUGCGCAGAUAUCAGGAGGAACACCUGAGGUGAAGACGGGUUGCUGGGCUGACACUGACGCUGAGGCGCGAAAGCCAGGGGAGCAAACGGG
rnacentral:rRNA from 1 species